CCUACGGGAGGCAGCAGUGGGGAAUAUUGGGCAAUGGGCGCAAGCCUGACCCAGCAACGCCGCGUGAAGGAAGAAGGCUUUCGGGUUGUAAACUUCUUUUAAGAGGGAAGAGCAGAAGACGGUACCUCUUGAAUAAGCCACGGCUAACUACGUGCCAGCAGCCGCGGUAAUACGUAGGAUUCGAGCGUUAUCCGGAUUUAUUGGGUUUAAAGGGUGCGUAGGCUGUCGGAUAAGUUAGAGGUCAAAUGUCGGGGCUUAACCCCGUGCCUGCCUCUGAUACUGUUCGACUAGAGAGCGGAUGCAGCAGGCGGAAUGAGUAGUGUAGCGGUGAAAUGCUUAGAUAUUACUCAGAACACCGAUUGCGCAGGCAGCUUGCUAAUGCGCAUCUGACGCUGAUGCACGAAAGCGUGGGUAGCGAACAGGAUUAGAUACCCUAGUAGUC
rnacentral:rRNA from 1 species